rnacentral:rRNA from 1 species
CGGUGAAUACGUUCCCGGGCCUUGUACACACCGCCCGUCAAGCCAUGGGAGUUGGGGUACCUGAAGCCGGCAGCGAUGCCGUCUAGGGUAAAACCAAUGACUGGGGCU